rnacentral:rRNA from 1 species
GAUGAACGCUGGCGGCGUGCCUAAUACAUGCAAGUCGAGCGAACGGACGAGAAGCUUGCUUCUCUGAUGUUAGCGGCGGACGGGUGAGUAACACGUGGAUAACCUACCUAUAAGACUGGGAUAACUUCGGGAAACCGGAGCUAAUACCGGAUAAUAUUUUGAACCGCAUGGUUCAAAAGUGAAAGACGGUCUUGCUGUCACUUAUAGAUGGAUCCGCGCUGCAUUAGCUAGUUGGUAAGGUAACGGCUUACCAAGGCAACGAUGCAUAGCCGACCUGAGAGGGUGAUCGGCCACACUGGAACUGAGACACGGUCCAGACUCCUACGGGAGGCAGCAGUAGGCAAUCUUCCGCAAAGGGCGAAAGCCUGACGGAGCAACGCCGCGUGAGUGAUGAAGGUCUUCGGAUCGUAAAACUCUGUUAUUAGGGAAGAACAUAUGUGUAAGUAACUGUGCACAUCUUGACGGUACCUAAUCAGAAAGCCACGGCUAACUACGUG